rnacentral:tRNA from 1 species
GGAAAUGUGGCUUAGUGGUAGAGUGCUUGCCUAGCAUGCAUAAAGCCCUGGGUUCAAUUCCUCAGUACCA